rnacentral:sRNA from 1 species
GACAACUCGCGGGGAUUGUUUUCCACACUGUGGAAGCUUUGUUCUUUUCGUUUUUUGCAAUAAAUCUUGUUGCUGCUCGCUUUUUGGGUCCACAUUGCUUUCAUGAGCUGUACCACUCACCGUGAAGAUCUGCAGCUUCACUUCAGAGCCUAGCGAGACCACGAGCUCACUGAAAACAAACAACUCCAGACGCGCUGUCUUAAGAGCUAUAACACUCACCGCGAAGGUGUGCAGUUUCACUCCUGAGCUAGUGAGACUACGAAGCCACUGGAACGAAGAAACUCCAACCACGUUUGAACAUCAGAAGGGGCAGACUCCAGACACUUCAUCUUAAGAGCUGUAACACUCACUGUGAAGGUCUGCAGCUUCACUCCUGAGCCAGCGAGACCACGAACCGAUCUGAACAUCAGAAGGGACAGACUCCAGAUGCCCCACCUUAAGAGCUGUAAUACUCACUGCAAGGGUCUGCAGCUUCAUUCUUGAAGUCAGACCAAGAACCCAGCAAUUCCCAACACACAGGGACCAGCUUCUUUCCUAACUCACUUAGGCUCUUCGUGCUGCUCUGGCAACUAACACCCUUGGCUGCAGGGGCUUGGACACUACCCUUAGUCACUGACAAUUGUGUGAAGGCUGCUGUCGUUAACUUCACUUGAUCACCUUAGGCUCCUGUGAAGUGGUGAGCAAUUCAAACAAAUUCCUGUCGUCAAAUCAUGAGUCCACCUGUCCCGAGUUGGAAGUCUGAACUCAUGUUCCUGGAUUCCUCCCAUGCAUCUUGGUGCUGGUGUGGGGCCUGAACUCAGCCAAUCCGCAACACCUCCAGGAGUCUUCCUCUUAGAUGCUGAGGCCACGGAGAAGGAAGCAGCACAAAGAAUGAACCCUGGAGAGGGUGCCAGAGGCAGGCGGGUUCCAGCCAUGUGGCGGCACAGCCUUACUGGGAUAGUCUAGCUGUGUCACUCAGAUGGAGAAAUUGCACUGCAGAGAAAUCUUUAAAAGCAAUUACCUAAUACUGCAGAUUGCUGAACUGUACCCACACCCAAGACUGAGCAUUGGAUCAAUCCAGAAUAUACAUCAGGUGUUCUGCAAUGUCUGCCUAAAACCAUGACUCUGCCUCCUCCAGCUGUUGCUACAUCUCACUAUGGGUUUCCUGUGACAUUUUGAGCAAGUAUGCCUCUGUGACUGGGGUUCUUACACUCCAGAAUGGAUGAGAAGCACCGUAAGUGGCUUUUAAAAUGAAUAUUCCCUGGCCCUUCAGUCGCUCUAUAGGUCAAGAAUCUGAAUUCUCAACCUGUCUAGAAGGUUCUGGUUUUAAUGGUCUGUGGGCUGCACAUUGAGAAACCUGUUCAGCGAGUGCAACAAAGGUUCCACAUGUGAGAAAGGAAGCAUCAGGUCUCUUGAGCCUGUUCUUUAAUCUGUAGGCUGCACCUUCUCUUUAAAUUCUGCUAAUAACACCAUGCGAGAAAACACCCGAGCUUGAAAAGCCCAUGUUCCAACAUAACUGUCCUUCACCACUCUGGAAAAUUAAUGGUUUGUUUCGAUUAUCCCUUUGUUAAACUCCAAAGUCAAAGAGCUCUGAAAGGCAUACGGUUAUUUUAAGUUUCAGGUGAUUUCUGUUGCCAAAUAUUUUAAAAAUUUAAAAUUGCUACGUGACCUCUUAGUAGUACUAUUAGAUUUCCUGACAAUAAAAAUAAGUCUUUUGGUUUCACCAUUUAUAGUUAGUACAGCUAAUAUUAAGUAUAAUUUUAAAAGCCUUUUAUUUUCUCAGAAAGAAAAAAUAAUCAAAAUCUGCUCAGUGUGGUAUUGAAUAAUUAAAAACAAAAGAACAGUAUCUUCACAUUAGUGUUUAAUAUUAAUUGCUUUUUUACCCUUG